rnacentral:rRNA from 1 species
CAGCAGUGAGGAAUAUUGGUCAAUGGCCGAAGGGCUGAACCAGCCAAGCCGCGUGAAGGAAUAAGGCCCUACGGGUCGUAAACUUCUUUAGUCAGGGAACAAAGGGAGCCACGCGUGGCUCUGUGAGUGUACCUGAAGAAUAAGCAUCGGCUAACUCCGUGCCAGCAGCCGCGGUAAUACGGAGGAUGCGAGCGUUAUCCGGAUUUAUUGGGUUUAAAGGGUGCGUAGGCGGUUUGUCAAGUCAGCGGUAAAAAUUCCGGGCUCAACCCGGUCCCGCCGUUGAAACUGGCGAACUCGAGAGGGAGAGAAGUAGGCGGAAUGCGCAGUGUAGCGGUGAAAUGCAUAGAUAUUGCGCAGAACUCCGAUUGCGAAGGCAGCCUACCGGCUCCUGUCUGACGCUGAGGCACGAAAGCGUGGGUAUCGAACAGGAUUAGA